GGACUACCAGGGUAUCUAAUCCUGUUUGAUCCCCACGCUUUCGUGCCUCAGUGUCAAUGCAGGCUUGGUGAACUGCCUUCGCAAUUGGUGUUCUAAUACAUAUCUAAGCAUUUCACCGCUACAUGUAUUAUUCCAUCCACCUCAACCUGAUUCAAGCUAAGCAGUAUCAAUGGCAGUUCCGGAGUUAAGCUCCGGGCUUUCACCACUGACUUACAAAGCCACCUACGCACCCUUUAAACCCAGUGAAUCCGGAUAACGCUUGCACCCUCCGUAUUACCGCGGCUGCUGGCAC
rnacentral:rRNA from 2 species